rnacentral:rRNA from 1 species
CUCCUACGGGAGGCAGCAGUUGGGAAUCUUGGACAAUGGGGGAAACCCUGGAUCCAGCCAUGCCGCGUGAGUGAUGAAGGCCUUCGGGUUGUAAAACGUCUUUACGACGGGGUACGAGUAAUGACGGUACCCGUAGAAGAAGCUCCGGCUAACUUCGUGCCAGCCGCCGCGGUAAUUC